UUCUGCAAUGCGCCCUGCCCCCAACACUGCCAGUGCUUGCAAACUUAGAGGAUUUAAAUUCAUCACUAGUGUUUUGAAAUCCCAGGAUGUGUUCCUGAGACAGUCUUCGUUGUUUUAUUGUCCUGGGCAUUCUGCGUCCUUUCAGUCUGGAGAUUUUUAGCUUCCUUUGCUUCUGAGUCUCUAUUUGCAGUGCCCCGAUGCUAGAAACCUGAGAUCCCAUGGCUUCUCCAGAAUGGAGGCUUGGGCAUUGUCAGCACCCUCCUUCCAAGAGUUGAAAGUUCCUCUCUUCUGGAAGACAAACUGAUGUGAGGAUGAGGAGGAGUCAGAAAUAAACUCAUUCAACUAAUACUUGAGUAGCUACUGUUGCCUACAGUAUGUUCAAGGUUUUGCUAGUCAUCCAUAUGAUCACUAUUGACAGCUUGGGAGACUCACACAGGCUAGUGAAUUUCAGGAAUUAACAGAAACUGAACAGCUUCUAUAAUCCUGCAGGAAGUAACCUCUGGAUGGCACAAUGGAUAAAUCCAGCCUUAUUUUGCUACUCCAAAGUCAUCUGCACCUAUCACCUCAGAAUUCAUUCUUUUUUU
rnacentral:lncRNA from 1 species